rnacentral:rRNA from 1 species
AUUGAACGCUGGCGGCAGGCCUAACACAUGCAAGUCGAGCGGAGCGGCGGUCGGGGGCGUAAUGGCUAGGAAUCUGCCUGUUGGCGGGGGAUGACGAUUGGAAAUGGUAGCUAUUACUGCUUACUCUCGCAUGUGGACAGAUGGGAUUAGCUUUUAGGUGAGGUAACGGCUCACCUAGGCUACGAUCCCUAGCCGGUCUGAGAGGAUGAUCAUUCACACUGGAACUGAGACACGGGCCAGACUCCUACGGGAGGAAGCAGUGGGGAAUAUUGGACAAUGGGCGAAAGCCUGAUCCAGCCAUGCCGCGUGUGUGAAGAAGGUCUUCGGAGUGUAAAGCACUUUAAGUUGGGAGGCGUUACCCACAGAAUAAGCACCGGCUAACUACGUGCCAGCAGCCGCGGUAAUAC